GUGGGGAAUAUUGGACAAUGGGGGGAACCCUGAUCCAGCCAUGCCGCGUGUGUGAAGAAGGCCUUUUGGUUGUAAAGCACUUUAAGCGAGGAGGAGGCUACCGAGAUUAAUACUCUUGGAUAGUGGACAUUACUCACAGAAUAAGCACCGGCUAACUCUGUGCCAGCAGCCGCGGUAAUACAGAGGGUGCAAGCGUUAAUCGGAUUUACUGGGCGUAAAGCGCGCGUAGGUGGCCAAUUAAGUCAAAUGUGAAAUCCCCGAGCUUAACUUGGGAAUUGCAUUCGAUACUGGUUGGCUAGAGUAUGGGAGAGGAUGGUAGAAUUCCAGGUGUAGCGGUGAAAUGCGUAGAGAUCUGGAGGAAUACCGAUGGCGAAGGCAGCCAUCUGGCCUAAUACUGACACUGAGGUGCGAAAGCAUGGGGAGCAAACAGGAUUAGAAACCCGUGUAGUCC
rnacentral:rRNA from 1 species